UUGAUUCUAGUAUUGCUUAUCUAGGAAGGCUGGAUGGAGGUGUUCACAGAGCUCACCAACCCCAGGUCUACAGAGAGUAUGAAAUGGCAGCAUCACUAUUCCUCUUAUGGAAAAUACUGAGGGGAAAAAAGAGGAAUAUAGCAAGGUGGCAAGAGGUGAUUUGGUAAUUUUAAAGGAUGCUUCCUGAUGACUACUUGGUUCCAGGGAAGAUUUGUAAAUCAGGAAGGAACAAAAGUGUUCAUUUUAAUUGGAAACACAGCUCACUUUGCCUGGAAAGCCUUUCAGGUAGAAGAAACCCACCAGGUUGUGUGCCAAAGAACUUCAGAAGACCUUAACCCCUGAGUGCUAUGUGAAUGCUGUAUCGGAAGCUGUUUGUCACAUCUAAUUUAAAAUGUGGGUUCUAAUAGGCUUUUUGUCAGCAGACCCAAAAGGUAAGUUAGACUCAAUUGGCAGAGAGUGAACUACCUUGAGGGGCUGGACCCACCAGUGCCAAUUGGAGACUCACUCUAUACCUGCAAGAGGGCUCUACAGCUCCCAGGCUGCUACCUUCAAAAGCUAAAAUACAUUUCUUAUUUACUUAUUCUGAAUGUAUGUUCAAAAGGCCAUAUCUUCACCAUGGUUAGGAAGGCAUUUCACUCUCCUAUUACCUGCUAUGUGCUCAAGAUAUAACCAGUUCUUGGAGGGAAAGGGAGGCAAGGAGGAAGGGAAAGAGGAAGGGACAAAAGGUAAGUUUAUAUGCACUGUAUGGGUAUACGGGGCAUGUCUACACAUGCAAUUAAUGCAACUGAAUAUACUCUGGCUUAAUUUGAGCCAGGGCAAACUAAUCUCAAUCUGCAUCUACAUGUGCAUUUAAGCACAGCAAUUUACUGAGCUGCCAAAUACCACUUGUUUCUGACAGGACUAUCCAGCAGCACAGUAAAUUAAGUCUUCUGUACCCUAAUUGCCACGCAUAUUUAAAAGGUGAUGCUUUACUGUGCAGCAAAUCAGUCUACUGUGCACUAAAGCAUCUCAUAUAGAUGUGCCUACAGAAAAGCAGUUUUAUUCAAGUUUACUUGAAAAGCUAACGAGAAUUUGUUUUCUUUAAAAUAAAGACUUACUAGUUUCAGCUGCCUACUUACUAUAAUAGUCACAAUGCUUUAUGCAAAAAAGUAGCUUUAUCUUACUUUUCAGUUGUUAAAGGACAUGCAAUAGCCCUGAGGCUUCAUGAAAAGUUACAACUUAAGGUGAAUUAAACACAGGUAUUUGCAGCAGGAGUGACUGACUACUUUGACAUUCCUUGCAUGUCUUUGCAUGUAUAAUGUUGAGGGUAUACACUUUUGUGUAGGCUUUUUACAGCAUAUUUAACCAUUGUGGCCCCCCCUACUAAGUGUCUAUUAUCAAUAGUGAAUUAUUCCGUUAAACUUCCAGUCUUAAUCAAGCUGGUUUUCAAAUGAUGAAAAGAAAAAGAAAAUGGCAACUUUGAAGUAACUUUGAAAGACGAAUUGGAUCAAAAGCCAAUAACUUUUCACUUGGGGUUGCCUGUUUGAACUGGGCUUAAUCAGUAUUGACUGAGAGUUGUCAGUUGGUGGUGAGCUGGCCCAGUAUUCAGGCCAUAUCAUACAAUCACCACCAUUUAAAUUAGUUUGCAGCCUCCUAGGCAUCUCAGCACAGAAGAGGAGUGUUGAGUAGGCAUGAAUGCAAAACUGAUCAUUUACUCCUAUGCAGAAUCUCUCCAUGAGGCAGGUCAGGGGGUGUGGUGUGGUGUGGUGGCUCGCUGUUAUUGUGACACCUGCCAUGUACGAGGCCACAGGUUGGUAU